UAACAAGGUUUCCGUAGGUGAACCUGCGGAAGGUCAUUAUUGAAUAAACUUGAACAGGCUGUUGCUGGUCUCCCUUGCGAGGGGGGGGCAUGUGCACGCUUGUCAUCUUUAUCUCUCCAACUGUGCACACAUUGUAGACCUGGAGUCGUCUUUGUUGAUUCAUUCGAGUUGGCACUGCAGCGCUUACAAACAAAAAAGUCUGCUCUGCCUUUUGCAUUUCCAGGUCUAUGUCAUUUUCACAACCUCAAUGUGUUUAGAAUGUCGAAUCAGGUCCUUUUUGUACCUAUAAAAUUUAAAUAUACAACUUUCAGCAACGGAUCUCUUGGCUCUCGCAUCGAUGAAGAACGCAGCGAAAUGCGAUAAGUAAUGUGAAUUGCAGAAUUCAGUGAAUCAUCGAAUCUUUGAACGCAUCUUGCGCUCCUUGGUAUUCCGAGGAGCAUGCCUGUUUGAGUGUCAUUUCAAGUUCUCAACUGCAUCAAUUUCUUGUUGAUGUGGCUUGGAUGUGGGGGGAUUGAUUAUUGCAGGCUUCUGUCAAAGGAGGUCUGCUCCCCUGAAAUGUAUUAGUGGUAUCUGAGCAGAGAAAGCUAC
rnacentral:rRNA from 1 species